CACUAUGAAGCUAAGAGCGUUAACCUU
rnacentral:ncRNA from 3 species